CGCAUCGGAUCACAGUGCACGGAAGAAUUUGUUGAGCUAUUACGUGCUGUAGUUCAUCCGCAAUUCAACAGUGUUUACGUCGGAAGGAUCGUCGUGCAGUCGACGCCGCGACCUGACAUGAAGGAGCGUUUGCCGACUACGCCUAGAAAGGGAUGUCAAGAUUUCGUGAACCAGAGGCAUCUCUACACCGCAUAGGAACCUAAGACAUUUCUGCAGCCGGAACAGCACGGCAAAUCAUCUGAUCUGCAUGCUGCGACAAGGUAUGGCUCGGCCUGGUGAUGAAGUGUAAGCAGAACAUGCUAUGCUGCGAAUUGGUGCCAAUCUUCACAUCCGAGUUGUUCCCACGACAGUCAAGC